rnacentral:lncRNA from 1 species
AGAGAAAAAGAGAUCGUUGUUCUUCACACUCUUACAUUUUGUAGAUCAGAUUCAAACAUUCCGAAUUCCUAGAUCUAUUCCCGCAUUCCAAUUUUUUAUUUGCUAUUUAAAUUUCGAGUUUCCAAAGAUUGAUUGGCGCCGCCAUCCUCUCUGAAGGUGGGUUUUGUGAGUUUGGUCCUAAUUUAGGGUAUGCAUAAUUACCCUAAAUUUGAAGUUAGUCGGCGAUAUCAACACAGAGCAGCAUGAAUUGAAAUAGUGAGAAAUAUAAACAGAGAGACAAGGCUGGGUAGUAGGUACUGAUAUGAUUAGAGUUGUUGGGUAUGUUUGAUAUGGGGCAUGGGGAGAACAAUGAAGAUGGGAACUUGGACGAUGUUGAAGAAGAAGGAAUUGGUGGAGCGGAAACAGGAACAGAACGAUUCCCAAAAUGUUGCAGGCAAAACGAUGUCGUAGAUAACAAAAAACCGCAAUGCCAAGAACAACAUGCGCAGAGCUAAAAAGAGAAAUAGGAGGAAGGGUUCAGGAACAAUCGGUGCCGUCGACACAAGUUUUAACUUUUAAACCCUCUUCCUUAUUUCAAAGCAUUUUUUCUUUUCUUUUGUUUUGUUUUUUUUUUUAUUUAUUGUUUAUCGUCUGGGCCUAGGGAGAUAGAAUAAAGGUUACAUUAUGUUCACGAGACUUCAACUACUCCUGUGAAAUGAAUGCG